ACCCAGCCAUGGAAAUGGCUGGCAGAGCAGCAACCCGCCUGUGUCUUCAUCUGGACAAGGCACCAACUGAAGCUUGAGGAAAGCCCAUGCCACACUCUGCACUGCACUGUGGUCCUACAAGAUCUCGGGAUCUGCACUGCAUGGACAGAGGAAGCUCCACAACACCUCUCAGCUACGGUCCCCACCAUGGACUUGCACACAUGUACGUUUUCCACAGAGAUAAGCAGGUGCUUAUGUCUGCUCACCUUGGGAUGGUGUCAGGAACUUGAAUAUCGCACACAUCAGCAUCUCAAGGAACCAUAUGGACAUGUCUACAAUUGACCCUUGAAGAUAAGGAACAAACAAGAAGAUAAAAAAGGAUGAAUGGGCCCACUUGAAAAAUACCAGAGACACCACAUGCAGAAGAGUAGGCAAGCACCAUAAGUGAGCAUGCUCCUGUGAUCGGGGAUGAAAGACUGUCAGCCUUCCUUCCUUGACCUCCAGACAACCACUGAGAAGCUAUCACAAAAUUAAAGACAAAUUAAAAACCUUCAAAAUAAACUUUC